rnacentral:rRNA from 1 species
UACGAAGGGGGGCUAGCGUUUGCUCGGAAAUUACUGGGCGUAAAGGGCGCGUAGGCGGAUACUUAAGUCGGGGGUGAAAGCCCGGGGCUCAACCUCGGAAUUGCCUUCGAUACUGGGUAUCUUGAGUUCGGGAGAGGUGAGUGGAAUGCCGAGUGUAGAGGUGAAAUUCGUAGAUAUUCGGCGGAACACCAGUGGCGAAGGCGACUCACUGGCCCGAUACUGACGGCUGA